GUAGUUAGCCGGGGCUUCCUCCUUGGCUACCGUCACUUUCUUCGUCACCAAGGACAGAGGUUUACAAUCCGAAAACAUUCAUCCCUCACGCGGCGUUGCUGGGUCAGGCUUUCGCCCAUUGCCCAAUAUUCCCCACUGCUGCCUCCCGUAGGAGUCUGGACCGUGUCUCAGUUCCAGUGUGGCCGAUCACCCUCUCAGGUCGGCUACCCAUCGUCGCCUUGGUGGGCCUUUACCUCACCAACUAGCUAAUGGGACGCGAACUCACCCUUGCGUGGAUUGCUCCUUUUACCUCAGAGCCAUGUGACUCCGUGGUCUUAUGCGGUAUUAGCAACUGUUUCCAGUUGGUAUCCCCCUCGCAAGGACAGAUUGUUCACGCGUUACUCACCCGUCCGCCGCUCGAACAAGGAACCGAAGCCCCUUGUCCUCGCUCGACUUGCAUGUGUUAGGCACGCCGCCACGCGUUCGUCCUCGAGCCACGAAUACAACUACUGA
rnacentral:rRNA from 1 species